CCGAUAGAUAGCACCACAAUGAUAAUUAUCAGCUGGAAUAUCAGUUGUUGCAGUGUAGUGAAACAUGUCGCAGUAAUAAUAAAUACGUGAACUUAUUGAUGAAGUUUCUUUAAUUUCCUACAAGUGAAAUGAAGUUCCAUCAUAGUUCUUGUACUCGUAGGUACACUAACAAUGCAUUAUGUGCAUAAAUGCAAAAUGAUGUUAAUGCUAUUUAUGCAUAAACAAACAAUGCACUCGCAAAUAUUAACGCCAUCUAUCAACCAUUAUUAUGAAACUACUUCAAAAACUAACCUAAAACAUAUCUCCAUUAUACUUGAAGUAUUUUUGAGAAAAACAUUCACUGCGAUACUCAGCAGUAACCAACAACCACAAACCGUUAAUUGUUGAAGAAUGACUGAGUGACUGAAUGACUCCUGACAUCACCGAGUUCAUAAUCUAUUCGGUAACAAAGCCUACAGCAACAAAGAAAGCUGAGUGUAACACGAAGCAAUCAAUCGAAUCGAUCUGGUGCGAGAGGAAACACAUUCCAGCGGGCAUGUUCCGCUCACCACUCGAAGAAAGAAGCUCGAUUGAUGUACCUAUAACAAAAUACAAUAUUUUAACGCGGACGCGGAGCGAAACACGAAAAGCGGCAAUUACGAAUUACGAACGUCGACAGCGCAAUUGAUCCGUUCGUUCGUGGUUGGAAUCCGACGAGAUUGUACAGAUCUUGAUGGUUAAAAAGCAGAAGAAGAAGAAGAAAAAACCUAACUGUAUUCUGUUAUUUUUUACUAUUAC